UACGUAGGGUCCGAGCGUUGUCCGGAAUUAUUGGGCGUAAAGAGCUCGUAGGCGGUCUGUUGCGUCCGCUGUGAAAACUCGGGGCUUAACCCCGAGCCUGCAGUGGAUACGGGCAGACUAGAGGUAGGUAGGGGGAGAUCGGAAUUCCUGGUGUAGCGGUGAAAUGCGCAGAUAUCAGGAGGAACACCGGUGGCGAAGGCGGAUCUCUGGGCCUUACCUGACGCUGAGGCGCGAAAGCUAGGGGAGCGAACAGG
rnacentral:rRNA from 1 species